GUACAUAGUGUCAUGUGAAGCAUGUUGCUUUGCCAAAGUGGACUACCUAUACGUACAUUAGUUGAUCUGGGCUUGAACAGAGAGCUGGGUUGAAAAACAAAAAACUCAAAACAUUAUAGUGCAGGGGAAAAACCCCCAGAAUUGAGGUGAACUUGUCUUUAUCAAUCACGUCAAAAUAUCAACAACGCUGGCCGAGAGUGCAUUGUGUGCAUUCACAGGUUGGGAAUAUUAUACCAAUUGUAACCCACACAUGUAUGUAUGCCCCCAUUGAUCACUACCACGUCAUAGCUACAGGGAUCAACUGUUGCCAUUGUUGUUAUUGUUAGCUGACUGACCCCCGUCCCACCUGCCUCAGCUAACCUGUGUAUACAGUGCGCAGGUAGGCCUACAUGUACACGGCACUGUACAACCAACAUAAGCCGGAUCAUUCAGCAUUGAGUGUGUAAAAAAGCUGACUGGAUGUGUACACAUCAUAAAUGGGAGAGCAACAUCUGAGCAUUGAUUAGACCCUAUUGAUUGUGGGUGGCGGAGGGCCGUGGACUCUGCUCCGGGACUAGGCUGAGUGCGUACGGCACACACAGCUUGGGUGUUCAACACAAAUUUCGUCACAACUAGUUACCAUAUAACAAGGGCAAACUAGUAAUAGUUCUGAUGUUGUCAGUCCACCAGCAAUUUACAAUACAGCCUUAGCAGAGAGAACUAUUGAAGUGACUGACUUGGAAAGAUGACUCCAAUCUUCUCAGUCUGCACCAUCCAUGUCUGAACUGCCCCGCAAUGGGUAGUUUUUAAAUUUGGUGUGUUUCUUAAUGAACCGUGGUCAUCCUCUGCCUGCUCAUCUGUACGUGUAAGUCUGCAGUGGUUCGCAAGCCCUACACACACACACACGCUCACACACUGACUAAUGACUCAUCGGCUGGCCAUGGGAGACGAGCGCAUCAAGAUGCAAGAGAAUAACAACGGGGAGACAGUGGAGAUGGAGAUUGUGGAUGAGGACAGUGAUUCGCCUCUGGAGGACGAGUGCUCUCGCAUCUGCAUGUGCGAGAAGUGCAUCGCGGAGAAAACACCACCAACUAAGGUAGAAAGGGCAAGUUCAUGGAGGAAGAUCAGAAACAUGGUACACUGGUCACCGUUCGUUCAGUCUUUCAAGAAGAAAUACCCCUGGGUUCAGCUGGCUGGCCAUCAAGGCAACUUCAAAGCUGGCGAGUGCGGCACUAUCUUGAAGAAGCAUACCCCCAAGGAGCAGUGGGCAUUGAGAAAACUGAUGGCUGACAUCCUGAGGCCGUACAUCCCAGAGUACAAAGGGGUCGUAGAGAAGAACUCGGAGAAAUAUGUACAAAUGCAAGAUCUGCUUGGAGAAUUUGACAAUCCAUCCGUAAUGGACUGCAAAAUUGGAACACGCACAUACCUUGAAGAGGAACUGAAGAAGGCCAGAGAAAAGCCCAAGCUUCGAAAGGACAUGUACCAGAAGAUGAUUGAAAUUGAUCCGACGGAGCCAACUUCAGAAGAGCACCGCCUCGGAGCUGUGACCAAGCCACGCUACAUGCAGUGGAGAGAGUUCAUGAGUUCAUCAGCCACUCUAGGAUUCAGGAUUGAAGGAGUUAAGAAAGGAGACGGUCAUUCUAGCCGGGACUACAAGACUGUACGCACAAAAGAUCAGAUCAGCGAAUGCUUUAAUUUCUUCAUCGACGGUGAUCCUUCCAUCCAAACCAAAUACAUUCGCCGCUUGAAGGCCAUCCGAGCUACCCUGGAGUCGUCUGAAUUUUUCGCUCUGCAUGAGGUCAUUGGAAGUUCACUGCUGUUUGUGCACGACAGAACAGGAAAAGCUAGCGUCUGGAUGAUAGACUUUGGCAAGACCACCCCGCUUCCUCCAUCCGAGUCCAAUGAUCAUCGGACCCCAUGGGUGGAGGGAAACCACGAGGAUGGCUACCUGUUUGGAUUGGACAUGAUGAUUGAAGUGUUUUCUGACAUGAAACCCAAAAAGUGCCCUGUUGAGACCAAUUCCAACAAACCUUCCACGAAGACUGAUCCCACUCCUGCCACCGCUCCUAGUGCAAUGGACACUCAGUCAGGUUCAACCUCCACUGACGCUGUUGACACCACUCAACCUUCAGAAGCCCUUCCAAUUUCCUCUUCCAUCUCCAAUGUUUCCUCAACUGCAUCGCCCCCAUCAGUCACAGCAGCUCCCUCGUAGCAUUGGAACCUAGAUGGGUCCGAGGACAGAUCCAGGGUAGGACAGUGGUCCGAUCCUGGAUGGGUCAGAGGUCAAGUCCUGGAAGAGUCAGAGGUCAGAUCCUGGAAGGGUCAGGGGUCAGAUCCUGGAUGGGUCAGGGGUCAGUUCCUGGAUGGGUCAGAGGUCAGAUCCUGGAUGGGUGAGAGGUCUGAU
rnacentral:misc_RNA from 1 species